UUAGAUCGUACCCACACUUACUUGGAUAACUGUGGUAAUUCUAGAGCUAAUACAUGCAAACAGAGCUCCGACCGGAGACGGAAGGAGCGCUUUUAUUAGAUCAAAACCGAUCGGUGGUGGAUUUACUCCAUCAUCGUACAACUUGGUGAAUCUGAAUAACUUUAAGCUGAUCGCACGGUCUUGCACCGGCGACGCAUCUUUCAAAUGUCUGCCUUAUCAACUGUCGAUGGUAGGUUCUGCGCCUACCAUGGUUGUAACGGGUAACGGGGAAUCAGGGUUCGAUUCCGGAGAGGGAGCCUGAGAAACGGCUACCACAUCCAAGGAAGGCAGCAGGCGCGCAAAUUACCCACUCCCGGCACGGGGAGGUAGUGACGAAAAAUAACGAUACGGGACUCAUCCGAGGCCCCGUAAUCGGAAUGAGUACACUCUAAACCCUUUAACGAGGAUCAAUUGGAGGGCAAGUCUGGUGCCAGCAGCCGCGGUAAUUCCAGCUCCAAUAGCGUAUAUUAAAGUUGUUGCGGUUAAAAAGCUCGUAGUCGAAUCUGUGUCUCGCACCGCCGGUUCAUCGUUCGCGGUGUUAACUGGCGUGCCGCGGGACGUCCUGCCGGUGGGCUUAGCUCGAGAGGGCGGUCCAAAUCAAUCCUGCCGCGGUGCUCUUCAUUGAGUGUCGAGGUGGGCCGGCACGUUUACUUUGAACAAAUUAGAGUGCUUAAAGCAGGCUAAAAUUUCGCCUGAAUACUGUGUGCAUGGAAUAAUGGAAUAGGACCUCGGUUCUAUUUUGUUGGUUUUCGGAACCCCGAGGUAAUGAUUAAUAGGAACGGAUGGGGGCAUUC
rnacentral:rRNA from 1 species